UGGCCUCUACAGAUAUUUUUACAUUUCCCGCAGCCAGAAAUGACAGAAAAUAUUUAGAUAUCUCCACCGAAACAGAGAGAGCUAAGUGAGACAGACAGAGGGCUGGUACACAGUAGGGAGUGAAGAUGCUGGUUGAGAUCUGCACCGUGGCUAUCUGCUGGGUCAUAACAGCAAGCUGUAGUCAGUGCAUAGGUACAGUAUAAUGCUCUAUGACUUGACAAAAGAGUUUAGUAACAUGUUUUGGAAUAAGAUUACUCUCUUUGUAAGCUUUGGCGAGUCAAUUGUUAAAUGUAUUACUAUACUGGACAUUUUUAGAGCCUCGUGAGACAGGUACAAACUUCUCCAUCACAGUGACCCAAGACGUUACAGUAGAGGCUGGACGGUGCAUUCCUAUAUCAUGUAAAUUCACAUACCCAGGCAAUAUUACUGAAUACGUACGAAGAGUCUGGUUCAAAGGAGAUGCACUUACACCUGUAUUUGAAAAAGAUGCAGAGGUGUGCAGUGUUUGGCAGUUCCUGAGAGGUCCUGAAAGGUCUUGCAGCUUUUUCCUCGAAGACCAACAAGAAGGAGAAAACGAGUAUAGAUUCAAGUUAACAUGGGGAGAUGAUCAAAUGUAUGUUUUUCCUGAGAGGGUACGAGUCUCAGUGUCUGGUACAUAAGAAACUAUGUCAACAAUAUACUACUUUCAUUCUCUUAAAUCACACUACAGAUUAUAAUGAGUAUUACUGUAUUGGUCUUUGCCUGAUGAAAAUAUCACCUUAUGUGUCCAAGUGAGAAUAAAUGUAGCCUACACACUCUGAAUUCUAAUAAUGUUAAAUUGCAGCAUAUUUUGUCACUGAUUCAGAACCUCCAAAUGAUAAUAAUCGUGUUCUUCACAUCACAGCAUAAUCUGAAUUAAAAUGCUUGAAAAAUGAAUGGUCAAAGUGAUCAAACUUUGCCAAAUUCUGUUUAGCUCUAACCCAGAAGAAGCCCACUGUGGAGACACCCCCUCUCACAGAGGGAGAGAAGGCCACACUGACCUGCAAAGUAUAUUCACUCAAACUAAAUGACCUCUGCCCGCAAAGACUAGAAGAAGAUUUUGUUGGAAUAGUCUGGAGAGGGACAGAGAACUUAGGCAUGUAUUUUGGGAUAAUGGAGCCAUCAACAGCAGAAAAUACAUUCAGUGUGAAUAUGUUGUCUUUCACUCCUAAAUCCGAACAUCACAACAUCAACCUCACAUGUGUGGGCAUCUACAAGAAGGCCAACAUUACUGUGGAGAAAACGGUGACUUUAACAGUAAAAUACCGUCCCAAGUUCCUGAAUGGCUCGGUGUGUGUGGUCCAGGCAGAGGUCCUGACCUGUGUGUGUGUCAGUCAGGGGGUUCCCUUACCAGUGAUUGCUUGGCCAAUGUUAGGGGUCUAUAUUAGUUACAGUGUCAUCGUCUCCAGGAGUGCCCAAACCGUGAACAGCACCAUCACCAUGUCUGCCUCAGAAUACAAGAACAGCAGCGUGGAGUGUGUCAGCAGAAAUGUAAUUGGCCAGAUCGAGAUGGAAUUCCCCAUACUACACCAAGCUGAAGGGAGCCUGACACAUAUCCCUGGGUCAGAGAAGAGGGAUGUUGCAGUCUUUCCCUGGAUAAUCGUUGGCUUGUCCCUCAGCCUUAAUGUGGCCCUCCUUGUCUAUCUGACCAGCGCUUGUAAAUGCAAAAAGGGUGGACAGAAGAGAGCUAAAGAAGAAGAUAGUACCUACAUCUCAUUGGACAAGGCAGACGUGUCUCCUGAAUAUGACAUCAUCUCCCCGAAUCCACAUUGAUCCUCUGCUUGUGAUAAACUUCUACAUUAUUUUAGCGUUUGGUUCUGAGGCUUGAUUUUGCUCUUUUAUUUCAAUUUCAAUUAUUUUCUAUGGCUAUACUUUCUGUUGUUGUUGCUUGAGCCCUGAAAACAUUUUGAUGUGAAUGAAUUCAACCUAUUUUCUGAAUAAUGUCUCAGGAUUUAUGCACAAAAAAAUAACUAAAUUGUAAGUUUUUCUGUAAAAGCACAUACGGAAGCUACAAGUUCGUGAUAUCUUUCUCAUGUUCAACUAUGUUAAUCAAAAUGGUAUGCAGAUAAUCAAGGUACCACAGUAUGGAACGCCGUUUGGGUCUUUCCGUGUCAAAAAAGAUACACAUCAAAUAACACUAUUUGACACAUUGAAUAAGCUUUUAAUUUGACAAAUAACACAGUUUAAUUGUAGAAUGUUGUGUUGGACCGCAACUUCUGGGCUAGCAGCUAGCUUUAGCUUGGUCCCUAGCUAGAGGUAGCCACUUGUUGUUCGCCUGUUGACAUUGAACUUCAGUUCAUGACAAGAAAUAGCUAGCCAGCUCCUAAACCCUGUUGCCCAAAGUUAAUGGGUUAUGUGUUGUGAAGCUAGCCACAAUAAGGAUUAGGCACAAUAGUGGAAUUUGCCAUUUGACUUCAAAAUAAAAGUUCCUCUUUGAAAGUGAUGCAGAAGGUAAAAAUUGGUGGAAUCAUGCCAUAUUUAGAUUAGAUGAUGUUAAACAAGGUUGGAAUGUGAAGCAAUGAAAUGGGGUAUCAGUCUACUCGGUGACACCCACAGAACACAACUGUGAAGAGUUUACGCAAAUAUUAGCGUUGUAGCUCUUAUUGCGGGACUGUGACUGUGUGAAAUCGCCUCCCCAGUCAGCCUAUUGUGUGUAUUGACAUUCAUAUUGUACUGUACAGCUUUACCUAGGGAUUGGGGAUUAAUGAAAUAGGGUAUCAGUCUACUCAAUACCCAAUAUAUUUUUUCCCAAUGUCCUCCUCAGAGUCCUCCUUAUCAGACUCCAAAACAUCCACGCGGUAUUGUUUUUCCUCUGGAAUAGUGUUCAAUACACAUAGCUUGACAAUAAAUGUGUCUCAGUUCAGUUGUUUCAGAGUCCAGCAAUAAGAGCUACAGUAUGACGAUAAUGUUCUCUGGGUGUCCUGAGUAGACUGAGACCCCAUGUAAUUGAUCCACAAUAUAUAGGUAAAGCUGUACUGUGAAAUAACUAUUUUUAAAAAGUUUUAAUUCACCUUUAUUUAACCAGGUAGGCCAGUUGAGAACAAGUUCUCAUUUACAACUGCGACCUGGCCAAGAUAAAGCAAAGCAGUGUGACAAAAACAACAACACAUAAACAAACGCACAGUCAAUAACACAAAAUAAAGAAAAAUAGAAAAAGUUAUGUACAGUGUGUGCAAAUGUAAAAAGAAUUAUACAAAUAUAUACAAAAUAUAUAUGAAAAAAACGGAUAUAUAUACAAGGGACGGGACAAGACAAUCAAAACAGACACCCCCACUGCUACGCCACCUUGGUUUAGUAUGCCCCCAAUGCAAUUCUAAAGUAUAAUCCAUCCAGUGUGAUUUCAACAGAUUUUUGUCAAACUAACAAAUUAUUGUCUUUUGUUGAUUUUAUAUAACAACAUUCCAACCCCGUUUGGCAUCAUCUAUUCAAUUAUGGCAUAAUUGUACUAUUUGUAUUCAUUUGCAUCACUGUCAACGACAUACUUUUAUUCUGAAGGCUAACCGCAAAGUCCACUAUUGUGGCUAAUCCUUAUUGUGGCUAGCUUCACAUAGAUGGGCCCGACCACCAUUAAUCAAAUAAGAACUGUCUUAUAAAUGAGGGUUAUUUUAGAUGAUGACGCCUAGCUAUAUAGUUAGCUAGCUACUAUAGCUACUAAAAACAGAUUAUGUCGUUUUUCUAUGUUUUUGGGGAAGAACAUUGUUUGCAUCCAUGAGCUAGCUAGCUUUUUUUAUGACCAGCACUGCAGGUGCGCGAGACAACUUUACCAGCAUCUUUUAUAUUAUUUUUUAAAAUGUUUUUUAAAAUUCAUAAUACAAAAAUCAACUUACUUUGCUACAUCAAACAUGUCUAACAAAACAAAACACCGUUUUUUUCACAGAGAAUGCAGAUAUCAUCAAUAUCAUCAAAUUUGGACAUCAUAUAAUUACAUGGAUAUAUCUUAUGUACAAUUUUGAAGUGCACUUCCUUAACUUUGUUUGGUAUACAGUAUUUAUAAGGCCUUAACCAUGCAUUUUUCCAAACAAUGUCAGGAAUUAGCAUGUUCCAGAAAAACCUUCCUCUCGGUGUAAGUUGGUUUUGUGAAUGAAGAAUUUGUCUUAUAUAUUUAUUACAACAUGAUCUCUCAAGAAAGCCCACGCCUUCCAAUCUGAGUUCUGGAUAAACUUUGUGAUCAUUCCCAAAAUUAAGAUGAGUUUUCAGAAGUGUAGUUAGACCACUGGGAACAGCUUUGAUCACAGAAAUAAACUCUCUGAAAGGUAUUGGAAACUCUUUCAAUGUUAUAAAUUGUUCAUAUGUGAGAAUAUUACCCUUGUUGUCGAAAAUAUCAAGAACAAAGUCAAUAUUCCUCUUAUGCCAGCUGGGGUAGAACAAUGACUUAUUCCUUACAGUUAUGUCUGAAUUAUUCCACAAAAGAGCUUUAUGUGGGGAAAAAUUGUGCAGGAAACAUAUUUUCCAGGCCAUUAAAGCUUGUUGGUGAAACCUAGCCAAUUUAGCAGGUAAUCUUUCAGGAAUAUAAUUACAUUUCAGUAAAAAUUGAAGACCUCCAAUUUAUUAUACACAUUAUUUGGAAUGAAAUACCAUAUUGAAUCAGUAUUGAUCAAACAUCUUUCCAACCAGUUUAUCUUGAAAGUGUUAUUUAUGUCAACAAAAUCCAACACUUCUAGACCGCCUUCAGCUCUUUUGUUAGAAAGGACAGAUUUAUUUUAGUUCGUGAGACUUAUUUUUCCAGAUGAAGUCAAGAAAGGUCUUAUUAAUCUCUUUAUAAGUAGCUGGAUUUACACAUAACAAUAAUGAGGGGUACACAAAACGAGACAGUUCCUCUGCCUUGGACAGAAGUACUCUCCCAAGUAUAGAAAGAUCUCUUUGUAGCCAAUAAUUAAAUAUAUUUUUAGCUCAAAUUCAAAUGUUGUCUGACUAAGUGGUUUUUUGACAGAUGAAUUCCUAAAUAUUUAACAGGAAUAUAUCAUUUACAGGAAUAUUUUCUAUUUCUUUAUCACCCGAGUCAAAUAAACAUAAGAUUUCACAUUUAGAAACAUUCAGCAUUAAUCCUGAUGCAAUAGAAAAUGCAGUUAUAGUAUUACGGGCAUGGGCGACCUGGUCUUUGUCUCUUAAGAAAAUAGUAGUAUCAUCAGCCAGUUGGGAGAUUUUGAUUUCUUUGUUAAAAAUGGUUAAGCCAUACAAAUUUGCAUUGUUCAGAAUAUCUAGAGAUAGAAGUUCCACAACCAAAAUGAAUAAAAAUGGCAAAAUUGGGCAUCCCUGUCGUGCACUUCUGUUGAUACUGAAUCUUUUGGAAGUAUUAAGGUUUAGUAGCACAUAACUAUUUAUAUCUUUGUAAAACAUGCAAAUUACUUUCAUACAAUUUUCACCAAAUCUAAAAAGUUUAAGAGACCUAAAGAGAAAUUCAUGUUAAAUUGUGUCAAAGGCUUUACAGAAGUCCAGAAAUAGGACAACCGCAUCUGAUUCAAUUGCAUCUGAAUAAUCUAUAAGGUCCAAGACUAAACGAAUGUUAGAGCUUUUGUGACACCCCUUCAUAAAUCCUGUUUGAGUCUAAUUUAUAAUGGUAUCUAUUCCUUUCUUUAAUAUUUUGGCAUAAACCAGAGCAAUCCAUUUGUAAUCAACAUUUAAUAAAGUAAUUGGUCUCCAAUUGUCAAUGAGAGAAGGGUCUUUAUCGGGAAUCAAUGAAAUAAUAAAAAUAGUGGAGACCAUUUCCCCAUUUUUAAUGCAAUCUUGAAACAUAUUGAAAAUCGGGUCUUCUAGUAACUUCCAAUACUGUCCAUAGAAUUCAACUGACAGGCCAUCAGGGCCAGGUGAUUUCCCUUUUUUCAUUGAAUUCAGUGCCUCUCUAAUUUCUUCAAUUGACACAGGUGAAUUGCAAACUGAGUGGAACUCAUCCUCAAUUACAGGGACAUAAUUAUGAAUGUGGCAAAUGUAGCUUUCACAACCAUCUUCCUGAAAUUGAGAGCUGUUAAGGUUUUCAUAAAAGGAAUUGACAAAUUAUGAUAUUGUACUGGGAUCUUUGCAUAAAACAUCAUUCGUUUUGAGUGCAGUUAUACAUUUUCUAUUGUAGUUUCUCUUUUCAAGUGCAAAAAAGUAACUAGUGUUUUUUUCCCCCUCUUCAAUCCAUUUGGCUCUUGACCAGAUCCAUGUAAAGCUGUUCUAAUUCUAGGUGUAAAGAAUUGAACAUAGACUCCUCUUCUUCAGAUAGAUGAUCUUUCUUUAGAAAUCUGUCAAGCUUGCUCAUCUCCUUUUCUCUAAGGUUCUUUAAUUGCAUCAGCUCUUUGGAGCGUUUAAUGGCUACCACUCUGACUUUAUAUUUGUCACGUAAAUCUAGAAUAGAUUUAUUCCUAAUUUCCCCUUUUUUGUUACAAUUUGUUAUAGAUGUAGAUCAUCAGUUGGCUCCCAUUUCUGAUCAUCACUUGAUUUACCUGAAUUUACAAGAUACAAAAAAAUCAAAAGGUACUCGAGGAUAUUGGAAAUUAAACAACACACUUCUUCAAGAUACUACUCUCAUUGAAAACAUAAAAUCAUUAGCUAAAGAUAUAUUUUUGCAAGAAAAGACUUGGGUCAUGGAAGUACUUGGGAACUUUACCAGUAUCAUAGCAUAUGAAAUACAAGUGAUAGUGUAAUCAAUGUGUAAUCAAUGUGUAAUAAAUACAUAAAAAAUGAUUUAAUGCGUUCAAUUAUUGUGUGACGUGCAUCAUAUUCAUGGAUAUAUCUUAUGUACAAUUUUGAAGUGCACUUCCUUAACUUUGUUUGGUAUACAGUAUUUAUAAGGCCUUAACCAUGCAUUUUUCCAAACAAUGUCAGGAAUUAGCAUGUUCCAGAAAAACCUUCCUCUCGGUGUAAGUUGGUCAACAAGCUUAUUUAGUGUUAUUUGUUAUUUGACGUGUAUCUUUUUUGACACGCCAAGACCCAAACGGUGUUCCAUACCACAGUUGCAAAUAUUAUCAAGUGAAAUGGUUUUAAAAAUGCUUUGUGUGAUGUCGCUUCUGCAAACAAUGAGGGGUGGUGUGGGAGGAAUAACUGUUACAUAAUGUAUUAAUAAAGUCAUACUAAUACAUGGAGAUAUAGAAUAUUUGGGGUGUAUUUUCCUUACUGUUUUGAGUAUGAGAGAACAGAUAACACACUAUAUAGAUAAACUGAGCAGGUCACAUUCUCUGUUGUUUACUUUAUUUAUCUGUUGUUUGGACCCAAAGAAAGAUGGCUUUGCUUGAGGCGGGACAGACUUGUAAAAUAAAGAGAGUGAUCAAACAUCA